CAGCAGCCGCGGUAAUACAGAGGGUGCAAGCGUUAAUCGGAAUUACUGGGCGUAAAGCGCACGCAGGCGGUCUGUCAAGUCAGAUGUGAAAUCCCCGGGCUUAACCUGGGAACUGCAUUUGAAACUGGCAGGCUAGAGUCUUGUAGAGGGGGGUAGAAUUCCAGGUGUAGCGGUGAAAUGCGUAGAGAUCUGGAGGAAUACCGGUGGCGAAGGCGGCCCCCUGGACAAAGACUGACGCUCAGGUGCGAAAGCGUGGGGAGCAAACAGGAUUAGAUACCCUGUAGUCCCUGUCUCUUAUACC
rnacentral:rRNA from 1 species